rnacentral:rRNA from 1 species
UACGGGGGGGGCAAGCGUUGUUCGGAAUUACUGGGCGUAAAGGGCUCGUAGGCGGCCAACUAAGUCGGAUGUGAAAUCCCCAAGCUUAACUUGGGAACUGCAUCCGAUACUGGAUGGCUUGAAUCCGGGAGAGGGAUGCAGAAUUCCAGGUGUAGCGGUGAAAUGCGUAGAUAUCUGGAGGAACACCGGUGGCGAAGGCGGCAUCCUGGACCGAGAUUGACGCUGAGGCGCGAAAGCCAGGGGAGCAAACGGG